rnacentral:rRNA from 1 species
UACGGAAGGGGCAAGCGUUGUUCGGAAUACUGGGCGUAAAGCGUGCGCAGGCGGUGAUGUAAGACAGAUGUGAAAUCCCCGGGCUCAACCUGGGAACUGCAUUUGUGACUGCAUCGCUAGAGUACGGCAGAGGGGAUGGAAUUCCGGCGUGCAGCAGGUGAAAUGCGUAGAUAUGCGGAGGAACACCGAUGGCGAAGGCAAUCCCCUGGGCCUGUACUGACGCUCAUGCACGAAAGCGUGGGGAGCAAACAGGAUAGAAACCCCUGGUAGUCCAAGACCGAAUGUACCUCUGCUACCG